UGGUUCCGGCAUCGAUGAAGAACGCAGCGAAAUGCGAUAAGUAAUGCGAAUUGCAGAAUUCCGCGAGUCAUCGAAUCUUUGAACGCACAUUGCGCCCUCUGGUAUUCCGGAGGGCAUGCCUGUUCGAGCGUCAUUAUCAACCCUUAAGCCCCGGCUUGCUGUUGGGUCCCGCCGUUGCUCUCUCGGCGGAUCCGAAAAAUAAUGGCCGAGUCCGCAAGACCCCAGAUGCAGCGAGCUUCUAGCACGCGUCUGGACGGGCUCCGGGCUUGGUCUUAACCAACUGACUACUUCUGGUUGACCUCGGAUCAGGUAGGGAUACCCGCUGA
rnacentral:misc_RNA from 1 species